CACGUAGGGUGCGAGCGUUGUCCGGAAUCAUUGGGCGUAAAGAGCGUGUAGGCGGCUCGAUAAGUCUGCUGUGAAAGUCCAGGGCUCAACCCUGGGAUGCCGGUGGAUACUGUCGGGCUAGAGUACGGAAGAGGCGAGUGGAAUUCCCGGUGUAGCGGUGAAAUGCGCAGAUAUCGGGAGGAACACCUAUUGCGAAGGCAGCUCGCUGGGACGUCACUGACGCUGAGACGCGAAAGCGUGGGGAGCAAACAGG
rnacentral:rRNA from 1 species